UACGGAGGAUCCGAGCGUUAUCCGGAUUUAUUGGGUUUAAAGGGUGCGUAGGCGGAAUAUUAAGUUAGUCGUUAAAUCUGGAGGCUUAACCUUCUUAUGGCGAUUAAUACUGGUACUCUAGAGAUUAGAUGCAGAGGGCGGAAUGUGUAGUGUAGCGGUGAAAUGCUUAGAUAUUACACAGAACACCGAUUGCGAAGGCAGCUCUCUAAUCUACAUCUGACGCUGAGGCACGAAAGCGUGGGGAUCAAACAGG
rnacentral:rRNA from 1 species